CAUAGCGCUGCAAGAUGGAGAUGUGGGUGUCACUGUCCUCAGUAAUAAUGAUAACAAUGAAGAUCUUGAUGCUUCAAGAGAUUCCACCGCUGGUGGAGUAGAAGUUCGGAAUAGCCUUGUUGCUAGAUAUUUCUCAUGAAUCAAAUGUGGUGUAAAGAAAAUAAAGAAGAAUGAAUCUAGUUCAAGCCAUAUCGAUUUAAUAUUUUUGUUAAUCGUUCAUUAAAAAAAAUUGUUAAAUACA